ACCCGGUCCCAGAUUCCUUCGGGAGGCAGCAGUAGGGAAUUCUUCCACAAUGGCGGAAAGCCUGAUGGAGCAACGCCGCGGGGGGGAAGAAGGUUUUCGGAUCGUAAAAUUUUGUUGUAAGGGAAGAACAAGUACAGUAGUAACUGGCUGUACCUGGACGGUACCUUAUUAGAAAGCCAUGGCUAAUUACGUGCCAGCAGCCGCGGUAAUACGUAGGUGGCAAGCGUUGUCCGGAAUUAUUGGGCGUAAAGCGCGCGCAGGCGGUUUUUUAAGUCUGAUGUGAAAGCCCCCGGCUCAACCGGGGAGGGUCAUUGGAAACUGGGGAACUUGAGUGCAGAAGAGGAAAGUGGAAUUCCAAGUGUAGCGGUGAAAUGCGUAGAGAUUUGGAGGAACACCAGUGGCGAAGGCGACUUUCUGGUCUGUAACUGACGCUGAGGCGCGAAAGCGUGGGGAGCAAACAGGAUUAGAUACCCUGGUAGUCCACGCCGUAAACGAUGAGUGCUAAGUGUUAGGGGGUUUCCGCCCCUUAGUGCUGCAGCUAACGCAUUAAGCACUCCGCCUGGGGAGUACGGUCGCAAGACUGAAACUCAAAGGAAUUGACGGGGGCCCGCACAAGCGG
rnacentral:rRNA from 1 species